GCAUGGCAGACGGGUGAGUAACGCGUGGGGAAUCUACCUCUUUGUGGGGAAUAACGCUCCGAAAGGAGUGGUAAUACCGCAUGAGAUCCAUGGCUGGGAUGCUGUGGAUGAAACCUGGGGACCGCAAGGCCUGGGGCAAGGAGAGGAUCCUGCGUCUGAUUAGCUAGUUGGUGAGGUAAUGGCCCACCAAGGCGACGAUCAGUAGCCGGCCUGAGAGGGUGAUCGGCCACACUGGAACUGAGACACGGUCCAGACUCCUACGGGAGGCAGCAGUGGGGAAUUUUGCGCAAUGGGCGAAAGCCUGACGCAGCAACGCCGCGUGGGUGAUGAAGGUCUUCGGAUCGUAAAACCCUGUCGUCGGGGACGAAGGUGGAGGGGUUAAUAGCCUCUUUGCUUGACGGUACCCGGAGAGGAAGCCCCGGCUAACUCUGUGCCAGCAGCCGCGGUAAUACAGAGGGGGCAAGCGUUAUUCGGAAUUAUUGGGCGUAAAGGGCGCGUAGGCGGCUUUUUAAGUGAGAUGUGUAAUCCCUGAGCUCAACUUGGGAACUGCAUCUCAUACUGGGAGGCUAGAGUACUGGAGAGGGUGGUAGAAUUCCACGUGUAGCGGUGAAAUGCGUAGAGAUGUGGAGGAAUACCAGUGGCGAAGGCGGCCACCUGGACAGUAACUGACGCUGAGGCGCGAAAGUGUGGGUAGCAAAC
rnacentral:rRNA from 1 species